UAGGGAAUAUUGGUAAUCUGGGAAACCGGGAACCAGCAACGCCGCGUGCGCGAUGAAGGCCUUCGGGUUGUAAAGCGCUUUUUGAGAGGAUGAGGAAGGACAGUACCCUUAGAAUAAGCCUCGGCUAACUACGUGCCAGCAGCCGCGGUAAAACGUAGGAGGCGAGCGUUAUCCGGAUUUACUGGGCGUAAAGCGUGUGUAGGCGGUUUGAUAAGUUGGAUGUGAAAGCUCCCGGCUCAACUGGGAGAGGUCGUUCAAAACUAUCAGACUUGAGAGUGGUAGAGGGAGGUGGAAUUCCGCGUGUAGUGGUGAAAUGCGUAGAUAUGCGGAGGAACACCAGUGGCGAAAGCGGCCUCCUGGCCCAUUUCUGACGCUCAGACACGAAAGCUAAGGUAGCAAACA
rnacentral:rRNA from 1 species